rnacentral:tRNA from 1 species
GAGGGUGUAGCUCAGUGGUCAGAGCACACGCUUAGCAUGCACAAGGUCUUGGGUUCAAUCCCCAGUACUUCCA